ACUUGAUGAUGUGGGCAUUUACAAAAAAGGUCCCUAAAAUGCUCACAAGUCUCGAAAAAGUGCUCACCAUCUAUUUGUGAAAAAUUGCUAAUGACCUUCCUAAGCU